ACUAUCCAGCGAAACCAC
rnacentral:snRNA from 1 species